UACGUAGGGGGCUAGCGUUGUCCGGAAUCAUCGGGCGUAAAGCGCGUGUAGGCGGUCCGGUAAGUCCGCUGUGAAAGUCGGGGGCUCAACCCUCGGAUGCCGGUGGAUACUGUCGGGCUUGAGUACGGAAGAGGCGAGUGGAAUUCCUGGUGUAGCGGUGAAAUGCGCAGAUAUCAGGAGGAACACCAAUUGCGAAGGCAGCUCGCUGGGACGUAACUGACGCUGAGACGCGAAAGCGUGGGGAUCAAACAGG
rnacentral:rRNA from 1 species